GGGGGGGGGGGGGGGGGGGGGGGGGGGGGGGAGGGGGGGGGGGGGGGGGCUGCUGGUGGGGGGUGGGGGAGGGGCGGGGGGGGGGGUAAGGCGUGGGUGGCCGGCGCGGGACUGUGGGAGAGCUUCGGGCAACUGGGGGAGAUAGCGGAUCGGAGCUACGGGUGCAUGGUGUGGGUUGGGAGGUUUCGGCGGUUGGGGAUGGACGCGCGUGUUAGCAGCUUGUUGGUGGGGACGUAGCGUACCAGGGCUUUGACGGGUAGCCGGCCUGAGAGGGUGACCGGCCACAUUGGGACUGAGAUACGGCCCAGACUCCUACGGGAGGCAGCAGUGGGGAAUAUUGCACAAUGGGCGGAAGCCUGAUGCAGCAACGCCGCGUGCGGGAUGACGGCCUUCGGGUUGUAAACCGCUUUCGCCUGUGACGAAGCGUGAGUGACGGUAAUGGGUAAAGAAGCACCGGCUAACUACGUG
rnacentral:rRNA from 1 species